rnacentral:sRNA from 2 species
AGGCCACAAAUCCCCUAACGUUCCCCAACAUACCCACUGUAUCCACUGCGGCACCAACGGGAGCAUAUCAGAGAGCUGGAUUCCCGAAGUCCAGCUUCCUUGCCAUCUGCAGAUACUCCUCACUCAACCAUCGACUUCGCACAGAACUAGAGGUCGUUUGGAGGAGCGACGCCCCGUGACUCGCCACCGCCAAUAAGCCCGGCCCUUGAGAAAAGUCUGGUUUUUAGCGGUAAACCCCCAGCAGCCGUCCGUACCGCAACGUUCUCCGAAACUCUCCCUUUACCUCAUUGAUGGAUUUCGGCUAUAGUCUUCCCCAGUCACAAAAGGCCCUGUCCCAUUACUGAACCUCACAGGCGCCCGACUCUCUGCAUCCCUGUCCACUCCGUAACCAAGGAGCCAGGACACAAUGGCCCCUCCUUGGACCUUAAAGAGAAGUCGGCGGCACUUCAAUGCUCUUCUUUUUCCAUUAAUCCUCUUUUUUUCGCCCCUGUCUACCUCCAGGUGAAAAUUUCACGAUUCUCAUACUUUUAUCACCAAUUUUAGCCCUAAUCGUCGAUCUAAGAACCCAUUCUGCAUAAUGAUGGCACGCAUUGACGUGGCCGUCCUCUAGUCGUUUGCCUUACCAAUUCCCUUUGGUCCCUGCCACGUCCAUUAGCCACAGCUCACUGCAUUAAGGCCCUAACGGACCCGCCGUGUGUGGCGAAGUUGCAUAUAGGAGGGAUUGGUGUACAAGUGUCUUGACGCCGAUGAUGUUAAUAUUUCUGAUGGUUGUUAAAACAUCUAUAUUAUAAGAGAGGCUUGCUCACACAUG